rnacentral:sRNA from 1 species
UCAUCACCAUCAUCACCCAGUCUAGACUUUCGGGAGAUGAGCGCAUACCCGAGAGUCAGUAAAACUCUCGGAGGUUGGAUUCUAAAUGACCAAAUUUGACCCUCGGGAGCCCAAACUCUCGAGGGUUUUUUAUU